rnacentral:lncRNA from 1 species
CAAAUAUUAAGUGUGGAUACAUUAUACUUCAGCGGUUAUUCAUUCCUAUAGUUCAUUCAUAUUCUUCUUCCAUUAACCAUCUCAAAGCCAUUCAACAAGAUAUAGAACCCUAGAAUGUCUGCAACGGUGCCAACGGAUUCAUCAAGUAAUAUUAAUUAUUAUAACAAAUUUUACUGAUGAGUUUGUACAAAACUUAAUACUAUAUAAAUUUCAGUUUUUAAUGUGUGUCGGUAUUUUUUUGAGGAUUGAUAUCAUUGUAUGUUUAUUUUCUGUAUUUUUCAUAAACUAAUUUACCAAUGUUGUUUGUUUCGAACAAAUUUAAUCAUUGUUUUGAAGAUCUAAGUUCAAAAUCUGUAACACCUUAUUGAAUAUGACAGAUGAUUUGGAGAGCAUGUUCAUAACUGCAAAAAAUGACGUUCAUGAUUUCUUAUAAUGUCAUAGUUUGCUGAACUGCAAACAUUGGUUCAUGAAUUAUUGUAAACAGAACUGCAAACAUUGGUUCAUGAAUUAUUGUAAACAUAUGUAGAUGUGGAAUUAAUAAUAUAUAUGUGAACGAACUAACUUAAAAUAUGAAGUCUGUCUAGUGCACUAGGGUUUAUUGUCUGUAUUUAUGUAGCUAAACAAUGAAUUAUGCACAUUCGUGUAUGCAUUCAUGACCAAACUAAUUACUGUUAAAUUAUGAUUUCUCGGGGAGCCUCUAUAUAAGUACGCCUGAUAAUGAGAUAUGCUUUCCUCAAUGCCCCGAAUCACUCAACCCAUAUACUGGUCAACUUUUUGAUAGCUUAGAAGAAGGGGUGAAUUUUUACAAAAAUUAUGCUAAUGCAUGUGGUUUCACCACUCGGAUGAGCACUUCUGGGCAUGCGAAUGAUUGGACAAUUAUAACACGAUAUGUCGUUUGUAAUAGACAAGGAUUAUGGGAUAAAGCUGACCAACCACUUGUGCGUACUAAUAACUCAAAAGCGAAGAAGAGAAAGACUUCAUCUUGCAAGGUUGACUGUAGGGCAAAGGUAAUUUUUUGCGUUCGUAACUGAAGGUCGCUACAUGAUCCGUGAAUUCAACGAGGGUCAUAAUCACUUGAUGGUGCCAUCCGCGUCACGACAUCUAAUGCUCGACAACAGAAAGGUCGACGAUGUUGAUUCAAUGCUAAUCAUAUUGAGACUAAAGGCCAAUAUUGGUCCCAUGCGUAUAUUUCGUAUGUUCGUUGAUAUUGUAGGCAGUUAUGAUAAGGCGGGAUGCACUGGGACGGACUUCAACAAUUUUGUCAGAGAUUUGAAAGUGUAUUCAAAAGACUCUGACGCCCACAUGUUGGAGGCAUUUACCCACAACAAAGCGGUCUUGACAUUCAUUUGCCAAACCUCAAGGUUCAUGUGGGCUGCUAUGGCAAGGAGUAUUCGGAUGGACUUAAGCAUGGCAACCGGCGAAAAGGUUCCAACAUAAUCUAUACCCUGUUCCUGGGUAUAGCGUUUCGCCACCAGUCUAGCUUUAAAAGCCGCGACUUCGCCAUCCGAAUAUCUUUUUCUAUUGUAUACCCACCUACUACCUAUGGCCAAGAAGCCAUCUGGUAAUUCAGUUUUCUCGUAUACAUUCAUAGCAGUCAUGGAUUCUAUUUCAGAAACCAUGGCGUCGUACCAAGAAUCUGCAUCUAAAUCUUUCAUCGCUUGUCUAAAGUUGUCAGGGUCGAUAUCCUUUUGUUCAUUAACAGGGAGAAGAUCCGAAGAUUCUCCCAAGAACAUAAAUCGAUCGGGUUGGACGAUAACCCUCCCACUACGACGAAGCGGUGGUGGUAUAGCUGUGACAAUGGUUUGUGCAGUGUCAUGUGGUGCAUUCACUUGCACACUUGGCUGGGGUGAUGGAAUCGCCUGUCCAUUGCCUUCGAUUUCUUGAAGGACAAUCUCGGACUUAGACUUGUGUUUAUCUAUAUAAUCAUGUUCCAAGAAUUGUGCGUUGGUGCUAACAACCACUUUCUGAUCCUUAGAAUUAUAGAAAUAACCACCUUUCGUUUCCCUUGGAUAUCCUACAAACAACAUUACUUCGCAUCUAGUCUCCAAUUUCUUUGCCUCUUUGUCAAGCACGUAUGCAGGACAACCCCAUACCCUUAUAUGAUGCAAGCUGGGCUUUCGCCCUGACCAUAAUUCGGUAGGAGUCUUAGGCACAGACUUGGACGGUACUAGAUUCAGCAAGUAAGUCAUUGUUUCCAAGGUAUAUCCCCAAAACGAAAUAGGCAACGAUGCAUAACUCAUCAUUGGUCGUACCAUUUCCAAAAGAGUUCUAUUUUUUCUCUCCGCUACACCAUUCUGUUGGGGAGUACCCGGUGCAGUCAAUUGGGAUGUGAUCCCAGAAUCUGACAAGUAUUGCUUAAACUCGUUUCCGAGGUAUUCGCCACCGCGAUCAGACCGCAAUGACUUGAUAGAUUUACCCAAUCUAUUCUCCACUUCCGCCUUGAAUUCUUUGAAUUUCUCAAAGCAUUCAGACUUGUGUUGAAGUAAGUAAAUAUACCCAUAUCUUGAGUAAUCGUCAAUGAAAGUGACGAAAUACUCAUACCCUCCACGAGCUUUUGUGGACAUCGGUCCACACAAGUCAGAGUGAAUCAAUUCGAACACAUGUGAUGCCCUAUUCCCCUUUGCCUUAAAAGGCCUUGCCGUCAUCUUUCCUUCUAUACAGGAUUCGCAGGUUCUAAAUGGAACAGCUUGAAAAUCUUUCAAAAUUCCAUUCGACACAAGCCUUUGGAUCCUGUUUAGAUUGAUGUGGCCUAACCUUAGGUGCCAAGCAUGUGUAUAUUGUUCAUGAGAAAAGUAUUUCCUUUUAUUUUGAUUUGGACAAAUUGGUGAUGUAGAUGUAACAUGGACAAAAUUAUUAAUUGGACAUGUAAUAGUAUAGAGAGAGUUGUUCAAAAUUCCGGAACAAAUAAUCAUGUUAUUUUUCAUGAUAGAAACACCUCUAUCAAAAGUAACUGAAUAUCCAUUCAAAAAUAACUUUCAAACAGAAAUUAUGUUCCGCCGAAACUCCGGCACAUAUAAAAUAUCUCUCAAAACUAAAAUAUCAUCACCAAAACAUAAAGAUAAAUCUUCAAUUGCAACAGAUGCGACCUUCGACGCAUUGCCCAUGGAGAUGGUGAUUUCAUCACUUCCCAGCUCCCUUCUCGGCUUGAAGCCCUGCAAGGUGUAACAAACAUGGUCAGUUGCCCCCGUAUCUACUACCCAAGAAUGAGUAGAAAACGAAGCUAAACAUGUCUCAGUUACUAAACGAAGCUAAACAUGGUCAGUUGCGCCAUCUUCUUUUUCUCAUUUUCUGGAUUCUGUUCUGUUCGGUCAGAGUCAGAGCUGGCUGGCAGCUCUGUCGACUUCUCUUCCUCCGUUGUGUCUAUGUUCUGCUCUACCGUGUCUAUGGACUGCUCUGCACGGUCAGAGUCAGAGUUGGCUUCCUCUUCUGCAGGCUGCUCUGAAGAGUCAGAGUCAGAGCUCGCUGGCAGCUCUGUAGGCUUAUCUUCCUCUGUUUCUACGCUCUGCUCUCGAAGGUCAGAGUCAGAGUAGAAACCGUCAGCUCUGGCAGAGUCAGACUCAGAAUCGUCUUCUCUGUCCUCUGCAAACACUCCUUUGCAGGUUCUUCCUAAAAAUCCCUUCACUCGUACUGUGCAACGGAGACACAAGUUUGCCUUUAAGACUACGGCGUCCCUGCAUGCACAACACUGAACAAACAGAUUAAACGCACCGGGUGGGAGAAAAAUAAAAACAAAAUGUAAAGUAAAGAAAGCAAGAAAAGUGACACAACUAAAAAGCCUAAAACCUUCCCCGGCAACGGCAACUAGAACACCUCUACAUUGACUUGCAAUAAAACAAGGCCACUCUAGCAGUGGUAAGCUAACCCAAUGUCGUCUCUCAAGGAAGAUCUUAAAGGGCAAUUAAUUAUGUCACGAGAAAACUGUAAACUAGGGAUUAUUAAACUAGAACGUGAAAUUAAACUUGACUUGAAAUUAAACUUAACUAUGCGAAAAGGAAUUAUUAACUAAUGCCAAAUUAUUAACUAUUCCUAACUUAACUAAAAGGAAUAAUUGCGUGAAAAUACACAAACUUUGCCAAAAAUCCAUAUUUGACGUGAAGUUAGGAUUUUACAUUUUAAUACACCAACUUUCGUUGUUGUCCAAAUUUGACACGACUUAAUUCUUAAAAAUUCAAAAAAUAACCCAUUUUUGUAAAUAAUUAUACAAAGACCCACUUAUGUUAUUAUUUGGGACAUUUAAACCAAAACAAGAUAUUUCCUCAUGAUGUUUUCUUUNGUUAUUAUUUGGGACAUUUAAACCAAAACAAGAUAUUUCCUCAUGAUGUUUUCUUUUAAUCUUUGAUCCGCGCCUAAAAUGGUUUAAAAGAAAACAUCAUAAGAAAAUAUCUUGUUUUGGUUUAAAUGUCCCAAAUUAUAACAUAAGUGGGUCUUUGUAUAAUUAUUUACAAAAAUGGGUUAUUUUUUGAAUUUUUAAGAAUUAAGUCGUGUCAAAUUUGGACAACAACGAAAGUUGGUGUAUUAAAAUGUAAAAUCCUAACUUCGCGUCAAAUAUGGAUUUUUGGUAAAGUUUGUGUAUUUAGGUGCAAUUUUCCCUAACUAAAACUUAAUCUUAAAAUUAUCUAGGCGAAUUAAACUAUUAAAACCCUAGGCAAGACUUAAACGCAAUAAAGUAAAGGAACUUGGAAUUUAAAUACUAACUAGUAAUUUAAAGGCUUGUAAAUUAAAAGGAAAGCAUCAUAAAAAUGCAUAAACUAAAUUGCAUAAUUUAAAGUGCGUAAUUUAAAGAAAGUAAGUAAAAGCAAAUAAAUAAACUUGAUUAAGAAAUACCGUAAAACGUCUCGAGAAGUAAUCUAUCACGUAAUUACAACUGUAAACGAAGAACUAAUCUAAAACAUGAAUUGAAAGAACUAUAAUAAACUAACUAAGAACAUAAAUCGAAACUAAAACUAAGAAAGCAAUAAACCUAAGUCUUCGGCUGCCUAGCGAAAACUAAAGAUUAGGGCAAAGGAUUAUAUUUUACAAUGAAUAGCAAGACCCUAUUUAUAGACUUCAAUUCAAUCUUGAUCACCAUCAAACUUGCCAUGCAAAAUUGGACUCUAAAGGAAAUAGAAUCGUGUAAGAGAAGGAAAGUCCAUCAAAAUCGUGCUCUGCAAGUUAUCUCCACUCUGGCGAAAAUUGGCUAACUCUGGAAACUCGGCUCUGGAAAGGUAUAAUGCAGAGCUAAAAGUCAGCUCUGGCAGUAGCGAGCUCUGAAAAGUGCAGAGCUGAAAGUCAGCUCUGUAAAGUUGACUCUGUCGAUCUUUAGCUCUGCUCUGCCAAGUUCACUCUGGCGCGUAGUCAGCUCUGUCGAGUUUAGCUCUGCUCUGACAAGUUUGUUCUGCUCUGGAGAUUUCAGCUCUGCUAGGGAAGUUCAGCUCUGAAGAUUUCGGCUCUGACUCUGCAAGUCAGCUCUGCUCUGCUACAGAGCUAUCCUCGCAGCUCUGCUCUGGCGAGCUUCUCUGCUCUACUCUGCAGCGGGCUUUUCGGCUCUUGCGCGGGCUUUUCAGCUCUGGCACGGGCUUUUCAGCUCUGUACACCAGAGUGAGCCAGAAUACGCAUUUCUCAUCCAAAUUAUCCAAAAUUACACUCUUCUACCUAUAAAACCUAAAUCUCCUGCAAAAUAUAAAACAAACCAUAAACCCACCAAUUUCCAUAAGAUUUAACUUAAAAUAUGCACACGCAAUUCACAUACCCGAAAUUGCGUGUGCGAAAACCUUCUUCUCUUCCACAAAUUCAUAAAAAUUAGUAAGUAUCAAAGAAAAAAACUAAGCAUAGAAAGAUCAAUCUCGCCCAAUUGAAAGCAUAAGCAAAACAAGACACCCCCCCACACUUAAAGCAUACCAUGUCCUCAGGGCACAAAAUAAAAAGAGUUUAGAAAACAUCCUUGAUUAUCGGCAUUGAAAAACUGAAGCAUUGCGAGAGGUGGCGAAAGGUAGGGUUUGCGGCUGUGGCAGAGUAGGAAUUUCAGUGCUGGCAUUUGCAGAGUGGAACUUCAGCUCUGACUCUGUACGGCAGAGUCAAAGUAGACGUGCAACGCUGGCUUUCUUCAGAGUAGAAAUUCAGAUCUGGUCAGGUCAGAGCUGGCCUUUUCAGCGCUGGCGGCAAAGUCAGAGAAGAAAUUGCAGUGCUGAAAACAAAGACAUUAACACCCAAAAAUAAAAGUAUCCGCACAAGCAACCAAAACUUAGGAAAACAUAAAACAAAAAUGAAAAACAAAGAACAAGAAAAACAAAAACACAAAAACCAAACCAACGGUGGGUUGCCUCCCACCAAGUGCUAGUUUUAAAGUCGCCAGCCCGACGUAGAGGAACCCUUAACCAAAAUCACCAUGAAACGUCAGCUGAAUUAAUCUUUUUAAAAACACGUCGUCCUUCAUUUCAGCUGCAGGUAGGGGUGUAAUCGAACCGAGCCGAACCGAAUAAUGGUGUGCUCAAGUUUGGUUUGUUUAGUAUCGAAUCGAAUCCCGAACUUUACUAACCGAAUACUUUGAGACUCGCGAGCGGCUCACGAGCCUAAUCGAGCCUAUAUGAACUUUCUAAAUUUAUAUUUAUAUUCAAAAUAUUGAUUAUUUUAUUUUAAAAAUAAAUUAUUUUAUUUAAAAUAAUAAAUAUAUUAAUUAUUUUCUUAUGACAAAUAAAAUUAAGUAGAGAUUUAAUAUAAUUAUUAUUAAUUUUAGUGGAUAAAUAUAAGUUAUAUAUACUAAUAAUUUAUAUUUUUCAAGCUGAAUCACUUGACGAACAUGUUCACGAGCUAACGAGCCGAAUACUACUAAGCUCAAGUUUGGUUUGUUUAUUUAUCGAGCUUCUCUAAACGAACUUGAACGAACUUUUUUCGAGCCGAGCUCCGAAUAGUUCGCGAGCGGCUUGGUUUGUUUACACCCCUAGCUGCAGGUCCUCUUAAUGAGCAAGCAGUGCUCAUCACAUUCAUCAUUCUCUCGAACCAAGAGCUAGGUCGAGAGCUCUCCUCUUUCUCCUCCUCCAAGGGAAGCACAAGGAAACCUCCAACUGCCCAAGGAAUUUCACGAGUAAGCCACGAUCGUGUGGAUGUUUACACAUGAACCCCUCAACCAGAUUAUUCACCUAGUCGUUUAAUUUCCAUCCAUGUCAACUUAACCUUUUGACAAAGGAAAUUAAUAGUUGGACCUUAACUAGACCAUAUCAUAUUCAAGAAGGGACUCCAAUGGGGAGUUGUACAUUGUACGUGAAACAAUAUCUAAGCAAUGACCACAAUUUAACCUUGACAUUUAAAUUCUCGAAAUUGGCAUACUCACUAGGACCAUACCUCUUUCAAUUUAAUCUCUUGGUUAUCUUAUUUAAAAUCCAUCCUCUAAAGUACUUAUGAAAAUCAUACCAGUAAGCCACGAUCGUGUGGACGUUUACCACAUAACUCCCACUACUUAAAUGGAUUUAAAUAUUUUUAAUAGAAAUCUCAACUCGACAAACUCGUGAAAUCAAACAUGAAGUAAGCCACGAUCGUGUGGACGUUUACUCACAUUCUCAAUCACUUUGUCUUGAGACCGUUGUGGAGGUCUAAAAUAAGUUUUGAACACCAUAAAAAUUAUUAAAACAGCUCGGUCUUUUUCUUUCAAAAGGUUUGAUCAUGCUCAACACAUAAUCCUAAACAUGCACUUCUAGAACGCAACACGUAAAACAUGCUCACGGAAUCCCAAAACAUGCUUAAGAAAACGAUGAACCUAGCAUGCUUGUCUAAGCGCAGUUAAUAAACACAUAUUAACAAGCAAAGAUAAAACAACAAGCAAAGAGCAUAAAGGAUUAACACCACGACAUGCAAAGAACAGAAUAAAAGAAAUAAAGUUCUUCGUGACCCAUUCGUGGAAUCUCAAUUCUAAUCUAUUACAUUUGAAACAGAGAAGAAAAACUAGAAAACGUAAACAUUGCCCAAAACAGCUCCAUCAGGCCCGUCUUUGAAAACUAGGGUUUAGGAACCCAUAGGGUUAGCUUCAAGAUACGUGCGCCACUUCCUCGGCAGCCUCGGCAAAACAGAGCAGCGACAGCUUCUGGUCAGAGCAGAGAUCGGUCAAAAAUAUAGCAGAGAUCACUCAGAAGCCAGAGCCGAGACAGCUCCAGAGCCAGAGCACAGAAUGCCCAGAGCCAGAGCUAAGCCAUCUCCAGAGCCAGAGCACAGAAUGCCUAGAGCCAGAGCUGAGACAUCUCCAGAGCCAGAGCCAGAGCACAGAAUGCCAGAGACAGAGACUGAGACAUCUCCAGAGCCAGAACAUAGAAUGCCCAGAGCCAGAGCUGAGACAUCUCCAGAGCCAGAGCACAGAAUGCCAGAGCCAGAGCUGAGACAUCUCCAGAGCCAGAACAUAGAAUGCCCAGAGCCAGAGAUGAGACAUCUCCAGAGCCAGAGCUGAGACAUCUCCAAAGCAAGAGCAUAGAAUGCCCAGAGUGCUCAGAACCAGAGCUGAAGCCCAGAGUGCUCAAAACCAAGGCCAAGACAGCUCCAAAUGGAGAGCGCAUUAGCUCUGAAGCCAGAGUGCAGCAGUUCGCGAACCAGAGUGCAGCACAACCUGAAACCUAUUCAUCCACUCCAAAAACCUAUUCUUCGUUCUCCGUCUGAUCAUCAUCGUCUUUGUCUCGUUUUACCAUAUUUACAGAUUACAGCCGAAAAACAAAAACAACAAACUAAAGUCCUAAUCUAACCACGGAUUUUCUCGUGGUGGAAAAACGAUUACAAUGUAAAAAACGACGUAUCCCACGAAACAACAGACCACGAAGAACAGCAGCAACAGCAAGCCAAACUCAAUGAAAAUUAUUAAUCGUACACGAAUUAACUGACAGAGCCAAGAAAAGCAAUCCAGGCUCUGAUACCAAUUGAAGGAUUUUAGCCCCAAUAGGAUCGUUUCUCGGAUAUCUUAAUUCACCAUACAACGAUUAAUUCCUAACAUGCUCCUAUGAAUUUAAGUGCUGCACAUUGGAGUUAGAAACACUUGUGAAUUGUAUGCAGAGGCUGUCAAUGGCUGAAUUGAAAGACUCCAGUUCUGACCUUCUGAACUGUAUCCCGCUCAACUCCCAACGUUGGAUAGACAACGAGCUAUGAGAAUUCCCAAGGAGAAAUCGGCCUUCUCGAAGUUGGCGACCCUCUGCUGCUCUCUAAAAUCCUAAUAUUUGUGUGUGUCUUAUUCUGAGAGUAGACAGUUGUAUUUAUAGACAAAAUACAGUCCUAGGGCUCCCAUAACUGUGAGGGACGAUUUUUACUCCUACAUGGCUUAGGAGACUUUGGGCUAGUCCAGGGAUCAGAUACAAGGAAUAAAGAUGGGCCUCUAAUGAAUUAAUUUCUAUGAUCAGCCCAGAUCAUAAUUAAUUCAUAAGUAUCAAUUCAUUCUACUAGAGAAUCAAUACUGACUUACCCCUUUAUUGUCGGUGAUGAGUCGGGGCUUGUAUUUAGACUUAUUAAAUCUCCGUAUUUAAAAUAUCCGACAUCCAUUAAUUAAUUAGAGCUCUGGCAGCUUAAAUUAAUUAAUCUCUUUGUAAUCCUUAAGCAAUACCACUCAAACCUUAUUAUUGCGCCUGAACUUAAUCAACCUGCAGGGUUUAACGCAAUAAACCUUAUUGAGCUCCUUAAGGGGAUGUCAUUAUCCUAUACCGGAUACGGGUACUAAUACAGAUAACCAAAUAUCAUAUAUUAACCGCUAUCACCCAAGAUACAGAGUACUCAAGUUAAUAUAUAACUCUCACCCAUAGUAAGUCAAAGUGAUACACGAAUCAACAUAUAAAUUUGAAAUCUUAUUAGUAUUAAGAUUCUAUUAAGUCACCGAGAUCUUGAUUCUUCACUUAUGUCAGAUAGAAGAAUACAUCUCACUGUGAUCCUAUCAAUACGUUAUGACGUACCAGUAUAGACAAGUAGUCAAGAUAAACUAGCUUCCAUCUAUACUGCAGCCUAAACCAACGACUCAUCCUAGAGUCAUCUCGGCUGCGAUCAGUUUAUACUUAAGGUUAUUCCAAUUAUAUGGUCUUCUGUGAUUUACAACACACCAUAUAAUCUACUUAUAUAGAGAUAAAGGANUAAUAUAAUUAUUAUUAAUUUUAGUGGAUAAAUAUAAGUUAUAUAUACUAAUAAUUUAUAUUUUCAAGCUGAAUCACUUGACGAACAUGUUCACGAGCUAACGAGCCGAAUACUACUAAGCUCAAGUUUGGUUUGUUUAUUUAUCGAGCUUCUCUAAACGAACUUGAACGAACUUUUCGAGCCGAGCUCCGAAUAGUUCGCGAGCGGCUUGGGUUGUUUACACCCCUAGCUGCAGGUCCUCUUAAUGAGCAAGCAGUGCUCAUCACAUUCAUCAUUCUCUCGAACCAAGAGCUAGGUCGAGAGCUCUCCUCUUUCUCCCUCCUCCAAGGGAAGCACAAGGAAACCUCCAACUGCCCAAGGAAUUUCACGAGUAAGCCACGAUCGUGUGGAUGUUUACACAUGAACCCCUCAACCAGAUUAUUCACCUAGUCGUUUAAUUUCCAUCCAUGUCAACUUAACCUUUUGACAAAGGAAAUUAAUAGUUGGACCUUAACUAGACCAUAUCAUAUUCAAGAAGGGACUCCAAUGGGGAGUUGUACAUUGUACGUGAAACAAUAUCUAAGCAAUGACCACAAUUUAACCUUGACAUUUAAUCUCGAAAUUGGCAUACUCACUAGGACCAUACCUCUUUCAAUUUAAUCUCUUGGUUAUCUUAUUUAAAAUCCAUCCUCUAAAGUACUUAUGAAAAUCAUACCAGUAAGCCACGAUCGUGUGGACGUUUACCACAUAACUCCCACUACUUAAAUGGAUUUAAAUAUUUUUAAUAGAAAUCUCAACUCGACAAACUCGUGAAAUCAAACAUGAAGUAAGCCACGAUCGUGUGGACGUUUACUCACAUUCUCAAUCACUUUGUCUUGAGACCGUUGUGGAGGUCUAAAAUAAGUUUUGAACACCAUAAAAAUUAUUAAAACUGCUUAGUCUUUUUCUUUCAAAAGGUUUGAUCAUGCUCAACACAUAAUCCUAAACAUGCUCUUCUAGAACGCAACACGUAAAACAUGCUCGCAGAAUUCUAAAACAUGCUUAAGAAAACUAUAAACCUAGCAUGCUUGUCUAAGCGGAGUUAAUAAACACAUAUUAACAAGCAAAACAAAACAACAUGCAAAGAGCAAAAAGGAUUAACACCACGACAUGCAAAGAACAUAAUAAAAGAAAUAAAGUUCUUUGUGACCCAUUCAUGGAAUCGCAAUUCUAAUCUAUUACAUUUAAAACAUAAAAGAAAAAACUCAAAAAUGUAAACACUGCCCGAAACAGCUCCAUCAGGCCCGUCUUUGAAAAACUAGGGUUUAGGAACCCCUAGGGUAAGCUUCGAGAUACGUGCUCCACUUCCUCGACAGCCUUGGCAAAACAGAGCAGUGACAACUUCUGGACAGAGCAGAGAUCGCUCAAAGACAGAGCAAAGAUCACUCAGAAGCCAGAGCCGAGACAGCUCCAGAGCCAGAGCACAGAAUGCCCAGAGCCAGAGCUGAGACAGAUCCAGAGCCAGAGCACAGACUGCCCAAAGCCAGAGCUGAGAUAUCUCCAGAGCCAGAGCAUAGAAUGCCCAGAGCCAGAGCUGAGAUAUCUCCAGGGCCAGAGCACAGAAUGCUCAGAGCUAGAGCUGAGACAGCUCUAGAGCCAAAGCACAGAAUGCCCAGAACCAGAACACAGACUGUCCAGAGCCAGAACAUAGAAUGCCCAGAGCCAGAGCUGAGAUAUCUCCAGAGCCAGAGCUGAGACAUCUCCAGAGCCAGAGCAUAGAAGCCCAGAGUGCUCAGAACCAGAGCUGAAGCCCAGAGUGCUACAAACCAAGGCCAAGACAGCUCCAAAUGGAGAGCGCAGUAGCUCGGAAGCCAGAGUGCAGCAGUUCGCGAACCAGAGUGCAGCACAGCCUGAAACCUGUUCAUCCACUCCAAAAACCUAUUCUUCGUUCUCCGUCUGAUCAUCAUCGUCUUUGUCUCGUUUUACCAUAUUUACAGAUUACAGCCGAAAAACAAAAACAACAACUAAAGUCCUAAUCUAACCACGGAUUUUCUCGUGGUGGAAAAACGAUUACAAUGUAAAAAACGACGUAUCCCACGAAACAACAGACCACGAAGAACAGCAGCAGCAGCAAGCCAAACUCAAUGAAAAUUAUUAAUCGUACACGAAUUAACUGACAGAGCCAAGAAAAGCAAUCCAGGCUCUGAUACCAAUUGAAGGAUUUUAGCCCCAAUAGGAUCGUUUCUCGGAUAUCUUAAUUCACCAUACAACGAUUAAUUCCUAACAUGCUCCUAUGAAUUUAAGUGCUGCACAUUGGAGUUAGAAACACUUGUGAAUUGUAUGCAGAGGCUGUCAAUGGCUGAAUUGAAAGACUCCAGUUCUGACCUUCUGAACUGUAUCCCGCUCAACUCCCAACGUUGGAUAGACAACGAGCUAUGAGAAUUCCCAAGGAGAAAUCGGCCUUCUCGAAGUUGGCGACCCUCUGCUGCUCUCUAAAAUCCUAAUAUUUGUGUGUGUCUUAUUCUGAGAGUAGACAGUUGUAUUUAUAGACAAAAUACAGUCCUAGGGCUCCCAUAACUGUGAGGGACGAUUUUUACUCCUACAUGGCUUAGGAGACUUUGGGCUAGUCCAGGGAUCAGAUACAAGGAAUAAAGAUGGGCCUCUAAUGAAUUAAUUUCUAUGAUCAGCCCAGAUCAUAAUUAAUUCAUAAGUAUCAAUUCAUUCUACUAGAGAAUCAAUACUGACUUACCCCUUUAUUGUCGGUGAUGAGUCGGGGCUUGUAUUUAGACUUAUUAAAUCUUCGUAUUUAAAAUAUCCGACAUCCAUUAAUUAAUUAGAGCUCUGGCAGCUUAAAUUAAUUAAUCUCUUUGUAAUCCUUAAGCAAUACCACUCAAACCUUAUUAUUGCGCCUGAACUUAAUCAACCUGCAGGGUUUAACGCAAUAAACCUUAUUGAGCUCCUUAAGGGGAUGUCAUUAUCCUAUACCGGAUAUGGGUACUAAUACAGAUAACCAAAUAUCAUAUAUUAACCGCUAUCACCCAAGAUACAGAGUACUCAAGUUAAUAUAUAACUCUCACCCAUAGUAAGUCAAAGUGAUACACGAAUCAACAUAUAAAUUUGAAAUCUUAUUAGUAUUAAGAUUCUAUUAAGUCACCGAGAUCUUGAUUCUUCACUUAUGUCAGAUAGAAGAAUACAUCUCACUGUGAUCCUAUCAAUACGUUAUGACGUACCAGUAUAGACAAGUAGUCAAGAUAAACUGCUUCCAUCUAUACUGCAGCCUAAACCAACGACUCAUCCUAGAGUCAUCUCGGCUGCGAUCAGUUUAUACUUAAGGUUAUUCCAAUUAUAUGGUCUUCUGUGAUUUACAACACACCAUAUAAUCUACUUAUAUAGAGAUAAAGGACAUACAUAUGUAAUCAUGAACACAAUCAGAUAGGAGAUUAAAUAGUGAACACAGGAAACAUUGUAUACAAGCAUAAAACGUUCUUGCUUUCAGUAUACAAAUCCAACAGAUCAGGGGUUAAAGAUGUUGAUCCGUAGUUUUCAAUGAAUGGGAAUGUAACAAAAAUAGGUUAGAAAAUAGAUGUUGAUCAUUAUCUACAAGAUAGGUGAGAGAUUUCCGGGAUUUGAUGAAUUUGCCAAAAUUAUGAAUCAAUGAAAUUGACAUUUGUAUCCCAACUCUCCUAAAGCAAAUAAAUACAGACUCUACGAACUAAAACAAUUGAGAUGGGACCAAAAAUCAGAACCGUUGGAUUAGACGAAAUGAAGGGCCUGGAUUUCUUCUCUAUUCUCUAUCUAAGGGACCCUUUUUCGUUGAAGUGGACCAUAUAUAUAUAUAUAUAUACAUAUAUAUAUAUAUAUAUAUUCAUAUAGGGAGAGGUUCAAGAAAGAACCACUAAAUAAAAUAAGAACGGAGAACCAUUUUCAGUCAUUCGAUCAUCAAGAUCUACGGUGGAUGCAUCAUCUUGUUGGAUGAAUGCAGAUCCUGGGUUCGAAUCCAGAAGGGAGCAUUUUUUCUUUUUUGAGUGCAUUAAUUUUAACAGCGAAUGCAUUAGAUUUGAUGGUUCUCACGUGCUCAUAAAUAAUGUAGUUCUCUCUAGAACUCCCCCCCCUCCACACACACACACACACACACACACACACAUAUAUAUAUAUAUAUAUAUAUAUAUAUAUACACACACACUCCUCCAGUCUUCAAAUAAGUAUCAUAAUGUAGAGUUUUUUGUCUCCUUUCAAAUAUCAUAUUAUAGAAUUUAAGAGUAAAUUGAGCUAAACUUUUAAUUCUGCCCAUGUCUUAAUAUUAUACCCCCUGUGUCUCAAUUUAAUAAGUCAUGUUUUCUUAUUCGUACGUCCCAAUUCAAUAGGUCACUUCCUCAAAUACAUAACAAAUAUCUUCACAUAAUUCAUUAUUUACACCAAAUGUAAUUGUACUUCACACAUAAUUAUCUUUUUCUUGUUUCUUCAUCCUACUUUUUGGACAAAUAUAUCCUCAACAAAAUUACUUUCCCUCUCCUAUUUUAUUAUAAAUUAUUCAUUUCUUAACAUCUGUGUCCAAGGCUUGUGGCCUCUUGAAUUGGAAUGAACGGAGUACUAUUUAUCUACUCAAUUAUAUUUAUGACUUUUACACUUUUAAAGUGAUGUAAAGAGUAAUUUAAUAAAAUAAAAUAAUUUCAUUCCAUUCUUACACUUUAUUUCUAGCUACCAAUCAUAAGAAUAAUAACAAACAAAGAAUCACAAUUCUAUUUUGUAUUCCUUAUGGAUACCAAACAUAAAAAUCACCUAAUGAUUGCCAUUCUUUUUCCCUCUUCAUUUCAUUCAUCCCUCAUUACAUUCCAUCAUAUCUAUCUAUUCAUUACAUUCCUCCUCCAUUUCAUUCCAUCACACCCCACCUCCUAAUAGAACAAGAUAAUGUGGGGCUGCAGUGGCGGGUGCAUGUUAACCCAGUCCGUAUGGUACAGCCGGUCUCACAUGAGACCAGCUCCUUUUUAAUGACAGCAUUGUCAGACAAGAUUGACACCAUUCACAAAUACAGUAUGUGACUUUGUCAACUACUCUACUUUUAUAUAUGUGAAUAUGUAAUAAGACAUUUACCAAUUAACAUCAAACUUGGUAUGCACAAUCACUUGAGACCAGUCUGAAAUCCGGCUUUGAUAUCUACUAUAUAUAUUCUGAUAUCACAUACAAGUGAAUAUUUUUAUCCGAUAACUAAUGACAGAAGAUCGACUUUGGUCCAUGGAAGAGGUUCUAAAACAUCCAUGCCAUUAAAGGAAGACACAUAUGAGCAGACUCAAGCCCUCGCACAGCAAUCAAGUGCAUCUGAUACAGUGAUGCAUCUGACUUGGUGUAUCAGUGCUCAAGGUGAAAAACAUAUUCAGUAAGCCGUUGUAAUUUGCUUUGGUCCAGUUUCUGUUCAGUCGCAACGGCCUGCUUCUUCACGGUGAGCAUGCGGGACGCAGGAUCCACAAUCCAGCCGUGUUGCACUAUGUCUGCAGAGAGAGCAGUCACCCACUAUUAACAGAACUCAACAUCACCAAUUUUCUUUAUCCUAUUUCAACAAUCCCUAAACUUCUAGAAAAGGAUUAUCAAGUAGAAAAAAGGCAGGAGGGUGUUGAAAGCUGCGUGCCAGGUCCAAGUCCAACUCAAUGUAAAGUCACUGCUCACAGAAAUAUAUCAGACCGUUUUCAUUUUUAAAUGGAAGUUCAUCUAACCAACAAAUGCAAAACAGCACUACGUGAACAGCCAGUUAGAUAAAUGAUCGUCUUAACAUGCUAAGCGAGGAAUGGGGCUUACAAUUUGUUGCAUCCUCCUCGUUCAUUCCAAGGAACAGCGCAGUAUCUUGAAUACUUAUUGUUGAAUAAGCAGAUUGCAGCAGUUCAAACAUCCUUUUGGUGUACAGCUCUGCAAUAAGUUCAACAUAAACAUUAACAAAAAGCAUGUUCCUGCAAUCUUCGUCGAUGCAGCAGCAAAACCAUACAACAAAGUGCCAAGCGUCCUCUAAAACCUCCUCUACACUAGUACAAGAAUCAACAAGAAGCAAGAAUGUAACAAAGAUCUUGACUCUUAAUGCAAGAUUAAAGUCUCUGUUUGAUCAUAAGUACAAGAAUUAACAAGCAGCGAAACUAUAAAAACCAUACAGAAAAGUGCCAAGUGUCCUCUAAAACCUCAUCUACACUAGUACAGGAAUCAACAAGGAGCGAGAGUGUAACAAAGAUCUUGACUCUUGAUGCAAGAUUAAGAACCUAUUUCCUUUUAAAAGUUUAAGAGAUAACUCAACUUACCAUUUUCCCACACAAAAGAGACCAAAAAGUAUAUAAGUUGAAGAAAACAUACCAGUAAAGCUAGACGAAGACAUCCCAACAUAAACAAAUUCACAUAUAAGGACCCGGGUCCAAUCUUCUAUAAGUAGCUACAAGAAUACAUUUAAAAGAACAUAUUCUUAAGCAGAUAAGGACUAUAAGUUAUAUGAGUAAGCAAAAAAAUGAACCAUGAACAAGUCACGAUUAUGCACCACAACGGCCAAUGCCCAUAACUGAAGGUAGGUAAUAUAGUUGAAAUCGUCACAAGACCAAGAUGUAUCUCAAUUGAGUAAUAAAGCAUAUAUUUCUAAUGUAGAUCAAUCAAUGGCAUAAGAAAACAUAGAAACAUAGUUAUUAUGACAGACCAAGAAGUUAGAAUUCAUAGAAUUUUCCUCGUUACAGCUACAUGCUUCGAUGCAGCAUUUCAUGGUGCACACAAUUGCUGUUAGAUGCAAAGCUGCAUUGACUUAGGCUACGUUUUGAAGACUACUCAAUGAAUCGAGGUGAACCAAUGGAGUCUCCAAUAAGUUGCCAAGAGCACAAACAAUACUUUAAUACAAAAGGAGUUACAGACUCACCGGAGAAAGCUGCCAUAAUUCCCUGACACUGUGGACUCCAAAUAAACUCACGAAUGGCUUCAUGAACACUAGGGUAAUCCUUGAUCCACAGCCUCUGCCCAAUUUUCCACGCAGCCGAUACCUCUGGCUGGCUCUCUUUCACUGGUAACGGUAUCUUCUUCCACAAAAACCUUGCGCUAUUACUAUAACAAUCCAAACAGCACCAUCACAAACAGCACCAUCGCAAGCAUGCUAGAGCAACCAAAAUAACAUAAUCAAAUAAAAGCACUACAAUUAUAACAAUUUUUUUCCGUGAAUGCUUAAAAUUUUAUCCAUGCGACGAAAAUUACAUGUCAUUGAUAUAGAUGUGACCGAUUAGAUGAAUGGCGUAGGGCCAAUCUUCCUGAAAAGAGACGCCCUCAGAUGCAGCCUGUGAUAAGUAAAAGAUGAAAGAGAGUAGUGAGAGAAAGUUAGGGUUUGCAGGGUAUAAUAGGGAAUGCGCGUACAUUACCUGGAGCAUGAGAGUAUCGCAUAUGUCUGCGACCUUGUCGUAGGACUUGAACGCGAGUGCUUCAUUCAGAGCUGAGAAAUCCAUUGAUGGCGGCGCCGCUGCAGCAGUUGGUGGAGCUCUUUUCCUCUUCCCCUCUAUCACUGUGGUGCGGUGGUGCCACCGGUAUGAGAAACUGCUACCUUAUUUUUGGGCUAAUGGGCCGAAGAUUGUCGAUAAUAGUGGGCCGCAUAUCAUGAAUUUUUUUUACGUUCUUUGUUUGGGCUAAUAUAUGAUGAGAAUAAGGCUUGUAUUAAAGGAAAAGAAAAAGAGUACAAAACAUCCAAGAAAGCGCAAAAGAGAGCAAACAAAAAACCGAGCCUCAUUAAAACCUUCUAAGAAGAAGAGACCUUAGAAGGAAAAAAGAGUACUCGUGAAAGACUCACAUCCGGUUCAGGAGCGGGAAGAGACAACUUCAGGAGUUCCGGCCUAACCAUCACCCCUAAGAAGCUCGGCUCAAGAAAACCGGAAGAAGAAGAACCAAGAAAGAAAACAGGAGACCAACAACAAAAGAAAACAACCCAACCAAAGCCCAAGGGAACCAACGAACCUGCUUAUAUAACCAUACGGAUAUGACUAUGCGUCGACAUAUCCCUUGCAACCGCAAUCCGAAUCUCCUCAAUCGCAAAAGGCCACCAUCCUUCCUGCCGAUCAUCAUUGGCCAUAAUAUCUGCCGGUUGAUUACCCUCACGGUAAAUAUGCGAGACCAUCAAAGAAAAAUCCCGAAGCAGGCGAAGAGUAUGCUGCCAAAACGCCUUAAAUCUCCAAGGAACAUCACUCGAGCGAGAGUACAAAAGGUGAACCACAUACAUAGAGUCAGCCUCAACCCACAAAUGCCGCCAGCCUCGGGUAUGAGCAAUGUGAAUAGCAUAGAUCACAGCCAACAAUUCCGCCUCGAAAGCAAAGCCUUUGCCGCCUUUAAAAUGAAAACAACCUCGGACAUGAGACCACUUGUCUCGAAAAACCCCACCCGCAGCAAUAACUCCAGGAGCUCCCAUCACAAAAAAUGAUUAAUAAUUAAUAAUAAUAAUUAACAAUUUAUUAUUUUACAGCCCCCACUUUACUUUUUAUAACUCUUAUCUAAAUAAUUAAUAAGUUAUUAUUUUACUUUAUACUUCAUAUCCCUCAAACUAAAUUGAAUUUUUAAUACGUCUACAAGUUUAUUUAAAUAAAUUUAAAAGAAUUAAUACAUAUAAUUCUUAAUCGUAAUAAGAAAAUAUCCAUAGCCCUUAUCAUAAUUUGAUAAAAAAAAAAAUGGGUUUAUGCAUAUAUAAAUUCUAUAAAAAAUUGUAUAACCUCCAACUCAAAAUUAUGAAAACCAUAUGAAAAGAACUAUCAAAUUAUCAAUUAAUCAUUUGUGACAAAAUCUCCUUUUCAAAUAAAAAUCACCACCACACCUCUAAAUCUUAGAAGGAAAUAGCAUGCUCAGAUAAUUAACUUGCGUGUAGAGAGUAACAUUACCUUCUCUUCUGAAGUCAGACCUGCUUCUAGGGAUGUCAACCACGCUAAUCCAUCAAAUUUCGAGCUAAUCCUAUCAAGUUGUCGAGUUAUUCGUGUAUGGGUUAAUUGGAUUAAAAAAAAUUCGGAUUAGAAAUUUUCAACUAAUCCUAGACGUUCGAUUUACGAGCUAGCCCAUCGGGCUAGUCGGACUCAAAAAUUUAUUAAAAAAAUUAACUAAUAUAUUUCUUUUGAUAAUAUUAUUGGUAGAGUUAUUUUAACUCUAAUAUUUUAUUUAUUCAUUUGAUGAAUUAAUACCUUUGUUUUAUCUUCUUCAUUAAUUAUUAUCUAAGAUAAUUAAUAUUGUAAAUGUAUUUCUCGAUUCUAUUUAAAAAGAGUGGAAAAAUAAUUUAAUCUUUUUAAGUCAAAUGCUAUUUCAAUUUUGCUUUAUUUUUAUCGACUAAUUAGUAAGGGCAGCUUUAUCUUUUAAUAGCAUUUUGACCCCUAAAGUCAUAGUUUAAAAGUGAUGGCUAUAUAAGUCUCAAACUAUAUACUUUUGGUUAGUUAUGUCUUUCACCCUUAAAUUAAAUUAUUUUAUUAAUAUACUCUAUCACUCAAACCAAACUCGUCCUAUCUAGAUUAACUUUUGUACAUGAGAUUAAGCAGAGCUCAUAUAUGCGGUACAAUUUAUCAACAAAAAGCGUAGCUAAGCUCCGCGGUUGAGAAAUCCGGUUGAGGAGAAAACGAAGAAAGUGGUGGCACAUACAACUGCAAGCCAAACGCAAAUCAAGAGACGCCUACAAUUAAACUGUCAUGUUGAAAAAAAAUAACAUAGACAUUUACACGGCCUAUGUAUUUGCAAGAGCCUCAAAAUUUCUACCCCCAAAAGUCUGCCCGUUUACGAGGGAGAUGCUCAAUCUUGUUGUAGCAAUUGAGAGAUGGUCCUAACUUGGUUGCUCUUGGCAGGGCUCAAUGGCGUCAUUCACUUCGCCUCCUUGAAUUCCCCGAUUCAUCUAGAGUAAUUUCUCGAGGAUCUAGUAGACCAAACCCUAGCCAGUCUCAUAAUGGGACUCUUUUCUUCGC